rnacentral:lncRNA from 1 species
AGGGAAUGAACUUCUGCGAAGAUUCCUCAUCGGGGCUUUUCUGCUUGUAUGUCAGCAUCGCUUCGGCAAUGGGCAACUGGUGUGCACAGUUUGCCCCUGCUAUGUACUGUGUUAUCCUGGAGACAACAUCAAGCGUUUCUGUAACAGUGGUCUGUGCUUCAAGUUUGUUGAACAGAUCUCUCCAGGCUACAUCUUGGAAGAAGUUGUUGUAUCUAUAAUCUACAGACCCC